rnacentral:misc_RNA from 1 species
ACCCCUUGUGGAGGAGGACGCCGAAGGUGGGGCUAAUGACUGGGGUGAAGUCGUAACAAGGUAGCCGUACCGGAAGGUGCGGCUGGAUCACCUCCUAACAGGGAGACAACAAAAUGUUUAAUAUUAUUAUUUUGUCACCUUAGGUCGAUCGGUAUCUCAUGUUCUUAAUUUAUUAAGAAUUUCAUUUCCUAAGUUUUUCUAGGUCACACCCAUUAUUUUUCCUGGGCCAUUAGCUCAGGUGGUUAGAGCGCACCCCUGAUAAGGGUGAGGUCCCUGGUUCAAGUCCAGGAUGGCCCAUAUCUCUAUGUUGGGGGUAUAGCUCAGUUGGUAGAGCGCCUGCUUUGCAAGCAGGAUGUCAGCGGUUCGAGUCCGCUUACCUCCACUGAUUACCACCUCUUCCAUAAUCUGUAGAAAGGAAAUUUUUUGAGUUGUGAUUAUAGUUCUGAACGAAUCUAGCUUCCUAAUGAAACCAUUAAGAUGCUGGACUCAUUGAAUUGAUUUCAUUGUUUUCAGAGAACCUUGACAACUGCAUAGAUUAUUUUAAAGACAAUAAGCAUCUUUUAUGAUGCAGAUUUAUUAUUUGUGCGAAUGCAUUAAUAACAAUUCUAUUAAGCUGAUGCUUCAAUUUUGAAGUUAUUGGUCAAGCUACAAAGGGCUCACGGAGGAUACCUAGGCACACAGA